rnacentral:rRNA from 1 species
UACGGAGGGUGCAAGCGUUAUCCGGAUUCACUGGGUUUAAAGGGUGCGUAGGUGGGCAGGUAAGUCCGUGGUGAAAUCUCUGAGCUUAACUCAGAAACUGCCGUGGAUACUAUUUGUCUUGAAUGUUGUGGAGGUGAGCGGAAUAUGUCAUGUAGCGGUGAAAUGCUUAGAUAUGACAUAGAACACCAAUUGCGAAGGCAGCUCACUACACAAUUAUUGACGCUGAGGCACGAAAGCGUGGGGAGUCAAACAGGA